GACGAACGCUGGCGGCGUACUUAACACAUGCAAGUCGAACGGAAAGGCCCUGCUUUUGUGGGGUGCUCGAGUGGCGAACGGGUGAGUAACACGUGAGUAACCUGCCCUUGACUUUGGGAUAACUUCAGGAAACUGGGGCUAAUACCGGAUAGGAGCUCCUGCUGCAUGGUGGGGGUUGGAAAGUUUCGGCGGUUGGGGAUGGACUCGCGGCUUAUCAGCUUGUUGGUGGGGUAGUGGCUUACCAAGGCUUUGACGGGUAGCCGGCCUGAGAGGGUGACCGGCCACAUUAGGACUGAGAUACGGCCCAGACUCCUACGGGAGGCAGCAGUGGGGAAUAUUGCACAGUGGGCGGAAGCCAGGUGCAGCAACGCCGCGUGCGGGAUAACAGCCUUCGGGUUGUAAACCGCUUUCGCCUGUGACGAAGCGUGAGUGACGGUAAUGGGUAAAGAAGCACCGGCUAACUACGUG
rnacentral:rRNA from 1 species